rnacentral:rRNA from 1 species
UACAGAGGUCCCGAGCGUUGUUCGGAUUCAUUGGGCGUAAAGGGUGCGUAGGCGGUCUGCUAAGUUUGAUGUGAAAUCCCGGGGCUCAACCCUGGAAUGGCAUUGAAUACUGGCGGACUAGAGUACCGGAGAGGAAACUGGAAUUUACGGUGUAGCGGUGAAAUGCGUAGAUAUCGUAAGGAAGACCAGUGGCGAAGGCGGGUCUCUGGACAGUUCCUGACGCUGAGGCACGAAGGCCAGGGGAGCAAACGGG